AUUGAACGCUGGCGGCAGGCCUAACACAUGCAAGUCGAGCGGAUGAAGGGAGCUUGCUCCUGGAUUCAGCGGCGGACGGGUGAGUAAUGCCUAGGAAUCUGCCUGGUAGUGGGGGAUAACGUCCGGAAACGGGCGCUAAUACCGCAUACGUCCUGAGGGAGAAAGUGGGGGAUCUUUGGACCUCACGCUAUCAGAUGAGCCUAGGUCGGAUUAGCUAGUUGGUGGGGUAAAGGCCUACCAAGGCGACGAUCCGUAACUGGUCUGAGAGGAUGAUCAGUCACAAUGGAACUGAGACACGGUCCAGACUCCUACGGGAGGCAGCAGUGGGGAAUAUUGGACAAUGGGCGAAAGCCUGAUCCAGCCAUGCCGCGUGUGUGAAGAAGGUCUUCGGAUUGUAAAGCACUUUAAGUUGGGAGGAAGGGCAGUAAGUUAAUACCUUGCUGUUUUGACGUUACCAACAGAAUAAGCACCGGCUAACUUCGUG
rnacentral:rRNA from 1 species